rnacentral:rRNA from 1 species
UACGUAGGGGCCUAGCGUUGUCCGGAAUUAUUGGGCGUAAAGAGCUCGUAGGCGGUUCGGCAAGUCGGAUGUGAAAUCUCCACGCUUAACGUGGAGGGGCCAUUCGAAACUGCUGUGACUCGAGUCCGGUAGGGGAGUGUGGAAUUCCCGGUGUAGCGGUGAAAUGCGUAGAUAUCGGGAGGAAUACCUAUGGCGAAGGCAGGUUACUGGGCCAUCACUGACGCUGAGCUGCGAAAGCUAGGGGAGCAAACAGG